rnacentral:misc_RNA from 1 species
GUUGAAAGGCUCUUAUAAAUUUCAUUUUAAUAUUUCAAAAAAAUAAUAAUAAAAAUUUAUUGAACAACCACAAAAUAUAUUUUUAAAAGUUGAGAAAAUCUUAGUUGAGGAAGAAAAAGAAAAGAAAAGAAAACUUGAAAUGGUCGUGUUAGGUAGACAUCUUAACAAGGUUACAAAAAUUGGUAAAAGAUUGAAAUUCUGGCUGUUUGCCUCAAUGUUAUAAAUGGUAUCACAUUGAUGGUCCUUAGGUUGAGUGCAUAAACGAAAGCUAAAGCUUCCUUUAUUUUUCCCUAACUAAUGAAGUUUCAAUUUA